AUUUGACUGCAGGGUCAUGG
rnacentral:misc_RNA from 1 species